AAUAAAAUGGCUGAUAAAAGCGAUAAAUUGUAAAUUUAUAUAUAGGAUAAAUUAUCCUUUUUAUUA
rnacentral:tRNA from 1 species